GACGAACGCUGGCGGCGUGCUUAACACAUGCAAGUCGAACGGUGAAAGGGAGCUUGCUCCCUGGAUCAGUGGCGAACGGGUGAGUAACACGUGGGCAACCUGCCCCAGACUUCGGGAUAACGCUUCGAAAGGAGUGCUAAUACCGGAUACGAACUCCUUGGGCAUCCUUGGGGUUGGAAAGUUUUUCGGUCUGGGAUGGGCCCGCGGCCUAUCAGCUUGUUGGUGAGGUAACGGCUCACCAAGGCGACGACGGGUAGCCGGCCUGAGAGGGCGACCGGCCACACUGGGACUGAGACACGGCCCAGACUCCUACGGGAGGCAGCAGUGGGGAAUAUUGCGCAAUGGGCGAAAGCCUGACGCAGCAACGCCGCGUGAGGGAUGACGGCCUUCGGGUUGUAAACCUCUUUCAGCAGGGAAGAAGCGAAAGUGACGGUACCUGCAGAAGAAGCACCGGCUAACUACGUGCCAGCCGCCGCAGUAA
rnacentral:rRNA from 1 species